UACGUAGGGUGCGAGCGUUGUCCGGAAUUAUUGGGCGUAAAGGGCUCGUAGGCGGUUUGUCGCGUCGGGAGUGAAAACUCAGGGCUUAACCCUGAGCCUGCUUCCGAUACGGGCAGACUAGAGGUAUGCAGGGGGAGAAUGAAUUCCUGGUGUAGCGGUGAAAUGCGCAGAUAUCAGGAGGAACACCGGUGGCGAAGGCGGUUCUCUGGGCAUUACCUGACGCUGAGGAGCGAAAGUGUGGGGAGCGAACAGG
rnacentral:rRNA from 1 species